GGGUUGUGAGGUUAAGCGACUAAGCGUACACGGUGGAUGCCCUGGCAGUCAGAGGCGAUGAAGGACGUGCUAAUCUGCGAAAAGCGUCGGUAAGGUGAUAUGAACCGUUAUAGCCGGCGAUGUCCGAAUGGGGAAACCCAGUGCAAUUCGUUGCACUAUCGUUAACUGAAUACAUAGGUUAACGAGGCGAACCGGGGGAACUGAAACAUCUAAGUACCCCGAGGAAAAGAAAUCAACCGAGAUUCCCCCAGUAGCGGCGAGCGAACGGGGAGCAGCCCAGAGUCUGAAUCAGCUUGUGUGUUAGUGGAACGGUCUGGAAAGUCCGACGGUACAGGGUGAUAGUCCCGUACACCAAAAUGCACAGGCUGUGAACUCGAAGAGUAGGGCGGGACACGUGGUAUCCUGUCUGAAUAUGGGGGGACCAUCCUCCAAGGCUAAAUACUCCUGACUGACCGAUAGUGAACCAGUACCGUGAGGGAAAGGCGAAAAGAACCCCGGCGAGGGGAGUGAAAAAGAACCUGAAACCGUGUACGUACAAGCAGUGGGAGCACCUUCGGGUGUGACUGCGUACCUUUUGUAUAAUGGGUCAGCGACUUAUAUUCUGUAGCAAGGUUAACCGUAUAGGGGAGCCGCAGGGAAACCGAGUCUUAACUGGGCGUUAAGUUGCAGGGUAUAGACCCGAAACCCGGUGAUCUAGCCAUGGGCAGGUUGAAGGUUGGGUAACACUAACUGGAGGACCGAACCGACUAAUGUUGAAAAAUUAGCGGAUGACUUGUGGCUGGGGGUGAAAGGCCAAUCAAACCGGGAGAUAGCUGGUUCUCCCCGAAAGCUAUUUAGGUAGCGCCUCGUGAAUUCAUCUUCGGGGGUAGAGCACUGUUUCGGCUAGGGGGUCAUCCCGACUUACCAACCCGAUGCAAACUACGAAUACCGAAGAAUGUUAUCACGGGAGACACACGGCGGGUGCUAACGUCCGUCGUGAAGAGGGAAACAACCCAGACCGCCAGCUAAGGUCCCAAAGUCAUGGUUAAGUGGGAAACGAUGUGGGAAGGCACAGACAGCCAGGAUGUUGGCUUAGAAGCAGCCAUCAUUUAAAGAAAGCGUAAUAGCUCACUGGUCGAGUCGGCCUGCGCGGAAGAUGUAACGGGGCUAAACCAUGCACCGAAGCUGCGGCAGCGACACUAUGUGUUGUUGGGUAGGGGAGCGUUCUGUAAGCCUGCGAAGGUGACCUGUGAGGGUUGCUGGAGGUAUCAGAAGUGCGAAUGCUGACAUAAGUAACGAUAAAGCGGGUGAAAAGCCCGCUCGCCGGAAGACCAAGGGUUCCUGUCCAACGUUAAUCGGGGCAGGGUGAGUCGACCCCUAAGGCGAGGCCGAAAGGCGUAGUCGAUGGGAAACAGGUUAAUAUUCCUGUACUUGGUGUUACUGCGAAGGGGGGACGGAGAAGGCUAUGUUAGCCGGGCGACGGUUGUCCCGGUUUAAGCAUGUAGGCUGGUUAUCCAGGCAAAUCCGGAUAAUCAAGGCUGAGGUGUGAUGACGAGGCACUACGGUGCUGAAGUAACAAAUGCCCUGCUUCCAGGAAAAGCCUCUAAGCAUCAGGUAACAUCAAAUCGUACCCCAAACCGACACAGGUGGUCAGGUAGAGAAUACCAAGGCGCUUGAGAGAACUCGGGUGAAGGAACUAGGCAAAAUGGUGCCGUAACUUCGGGAGAAGGCACGCUGGUGUGUAGGUGAAGUCCCUGCGGAUGGAGCUGAGACCAGUCGAAGAUACCAGCUGGCUGCAACUGUUUAUUAAAAACACAGCACUGUGCAAACACGAAAGUGGACGUAUACGGUGUGACGCCUGCCCGGUGCCGGAAGGUUAAUUGAUGGGGUUAUCCGUAAGGAGAAGCUCUUGAUCGAAGCCCCGGUAAACGGCGGCCGUAACUAUAACGGUCCUAAGGUAGCGAAAUUCCUUGUCGGGUAAGUUCCGACCUGCACGAAUGGCGUAAUGAUGGCCAGGCUGUCUCCACCCGAGACUCAGUGAAAUUGAACUCGCUGUGAAGAUGCAGUGUACCCGCGGCAAGACGGAAAGACCCCGUGAACCUUUACUAUAGCUUGACACUGAACAUUGAGCCUUGAUGUGUAGGAUAGGUGGGAGGCUUUGAAGCGUGGACGCCAGUCUGCGUGGAGCCAACCUUGAAAUACCACCCUUUAAUGUUUGAUGUUCUAACGUUGGCCCCUGACCGGGGUUGCGGACAGUGUCUGGUGGGUAGUUUGACUGGGGCGGUCUCCUCCCAAAGCGUAACGGAGGAGCACGAAGGUUAGCUAAUCCUGGUCGGACAUCAGGAGGUUAGUGCAAUGGCAUAAGCUAGCUUGACUGCGAGCGUGACGGCGCGAGCAGGUGCGAAAGCAGGUCAUAGUGAUCCGGUGGUUCUGAAUGGAAGGGCCAUCGCUCAACGGAUAAAAGGUACUCCGGGGAUAACAGGCUGAUACCGCCCAAGAGUUCAUAUCGACGGCGGUGUUUGGCACCUCGAUGUCGGCUCAUCACAUCCUGGGGCUGAAGUAGGUCCCAAGGGUAUGGCUGUUCGCCAUUUAAAGUGGUACGCGAGCUGGGUUUAGAACGUCGUGAGACAGUUCGGUCCCUAUCUGCCGUGGGCGCUGGAGAAUUGAGGGGGGCUGCUCCUAGUACGAGAGGACCGGAGUGGACGCAUCACUGGUGUUCGGGUUGUCAUGCCAAUGGCACUGCCCGGUAGCUAAAUGCGGAAGAGAUAAGUGCUGAAAGCAUCUAAGCACGAAACUUGCCCCGAGAUGAGUUCUCCCUGAGACUUUAAGUCUCCUGAAGGAACGUUGAAGACGACGACGUUGAUAGGCCGGGUGUGUAAGCGCAGCGAUGCGUUGAGCUAACCGGUACUAAUGAACCGUGAGGCUUAACCUUACAACGCCGAAG
rnacentral:rRNA from 1 species